ensembl:lncRNA
CUUUUAAAUGUUCCACUAAGAUCCUGUCCUGUUUGUUAGCCAUCACAAAUUUCUUAAAUCCCGUAUAUCGUCAUUCAAAACUCAUAGUAGUAAGAUUCUGUUUCAGAUGAGUCCCCAGACAGUGUUUGUAUUUUCCUCCCUAAGGAACCCUUUGGCCUCCUAUUUACUCCUGCCAGAGUGCAAAUCAGAUGUUUGAAGGCAGUUUAGGUGAUCAGAGUUUGGGCUCAAGCCCAAGUCCCAUGCUGCCAUGGUCACAGAGGUUACAAAGAACCUCCAGAGAUCACUAGUCAUGAUUGAACUCUUACUUUGAUCUCUAAGAAAUGUAAUUAGUAGUAAAGCAAACAAAUACCUAUAUACUGGGAAAAUCAAAUGUCUUCCCUCAGUCUUAUUACAGCAGUGUUUUUUGUUCCUUUGAUCAGGGCGGUUCAUAGGAGGAUGAUAGUUUAAACCGAGAGGCUGACAAAAUGGAGGCUGGCAGUAACGAGAAGAACUGAAGACUAUGGUAGCAUAAAAUAGCAGAGAGGAAUAAAAGAUAAAGGACAAUGAAGUGGAUAAUCAUUCUGAUGAGGGCAGAAGGCCAUGACACCUGUGCACAUCUCUGCUUCUCGGCAGUGAAUGAAAAGACGAACCCUUCUCUUUUGAAUAGCUCAGGAAUUCUCCAUCAGAGCACCACAGGGAGUUGUAUCCACACAGAAUGGACAGUAGCCUGAUGGACAGGGCGUCCUCAUAGAGACACAGGCGCAAAACAUGGGGCUCUUGCUCCUGAGGUACGUACUCUCAGGCCUGAGUAUUAUAUGGAUGACGUCGUGCCACCAAAAGAGCAAGCUGAGCCUGCCAAGUACUUUGAAAGAACAGUUAUGCUCAGAAGAUAGUCUUUUUGGCCUUGAAUCUCAAGUAAACAAAGAGAGUUAAACUCGGGAAAAAGAUUGUAUUUCAAAGUCAGUAAGCUUAGGUUCUCCUGUUGGGUAGAUUGAGGUUGCUGUAUACUCGUCAUGUAGAUUUUUUUGGUUAUCCUUUUCAGGUAUGAGACAUGUGCAAUCCUUCAAAGAGAUAGCCUAAGUGCAGGGUCAUGCACACAAAAUGUAGGCGUUAAGCCCUCUGAAAGUACGGUUUGAUGAUGCAGUCCAGUACAUUUAUCACUGAUACCGUAAGGAGACAGUCAUUCCCCAGCACCACCCACGUGCCCCUGCUGUGCUGUUCUGCCAAAUCCUGAACUGAUUCACCUCACUAAGCACUGGUAAGCUAAUUUAAAACAAUGUGAAUUGUUUUAGGGAGCUGAACUGACCUAAAGAAGAGACCAGGUAGUCCCUGAGCCUUCACAAGGGCCAGCAGCAGAGGCAGAAGGAUGAGCAAAGAGAGCAGCACAGCUUUUUCAGAGGCAGCAAGCCUUUAGUUUAGCUCAGCUGAUUCAUCCAGCUGUAGCCUAGCUUGCAAACGGCUAAUGCCUUCAUGGCAUCUAGCUCUACUUUUCUGCUACUUUUCUUUCUUUAAAGGUAACAGUGCAAAUUUCAUUAGAGUGCCUGUUGUGAGCAGCGGUUGCAUUUUGUUUAUUUUCUGAUUUAGGUGAGAUUUCCUUUCUUUCCUAUAGUUAAGUCUCCCUUUUUUCUCUAUUUCUUCUAGUUGCAGUGACCACACAGGGAACAACAGCACAGACAUCCUUGCCUGAGAGGAAAGGGCAUCCCAGCGUGCUAUCUUGAGCUGUUGUUGGAGAGAGACCGCUGAAGGCUCAGCGGUAGGAGAGAUAAAGAAAGCCACUUCAUUCCAAAAGGCACUUCUCAGUGCCUAAAAAGGCAGUUUUAACUAAGAAGGCAGCUGUGAAAUAAUGCUUUGACUGUUUGCAGUGAUCCUAUAUAUCUGGCUAUGAACUCACUGAUAACAUAAUAACAUUUUUCUAAGGGGAAAAGGAGGCUGGGUAUGUAACAACUAUAAGGAAACAUAUCAUGUAUCACGCAGCCUUAUUUAGGCAGCUCAGCGAAGGACUUAUGCCCAUGUUUAAUCACAUGCUUAUACCAUUAGUAAUGCUAACAUGCUUAAGCUACUAGCAGCAUGAAGAUGGAUGGGCAUGUGCUCAAAAAUGAGGCAUGGAGUUCACUGCUUUUAAGAAUUCUGGCCUUAAAAUGGUGCUGAUGGUACAUGGAAAUCUUUGGAAACAUUCUGCAUUAUUUGUAGAAAUACUUCUACAGGAAAAAAAAUUCCUUGCUUUGGAUUUUCUCUUUCAGGUUCCUUUCUUAAAAGGAUUUGCCUGAAAAACUCAUGAGCUUUUUCUAUUCUACAAAAAUACAUAAAUAAUGCUUUAUUUUACAAUGUUUGCUCUGCAAAUUCUGAGCAAUUUGCUCUGAAAAACAGAAGUCAGUGAUUUAGCUGAAAAGGUUCCUGGAACUGCUGAGGGGAAGACCCAGUUUUUUUGUCAUCCCCACAGUGCUUGAGUCACCAGAUCCUACUGCUGCUUUAUUUCAAUUUGUCUUUUUAGUGCCAGGAAUAUCUGCAAGCUUCAUGAAGUAAUGCUUCUUCCAUGUUAAGCUAGAAGAUAUAAUGAGCAGAUGUUUUGGACACUGAACUCAAAAUCAGGUUAUUUAGAGAUUUAAUAAAUCUAUACUAUGCUUUCCUUCGCUUCUACA